GGGGCAGCCAGGGCCAGAGAACAGCUGCCCAAAAGACUGGGACAAAAUCUCUAAUAGGUAUGCUCUCUGGGACACUGAGAACAUGUUUCUAAAAAAGCAACCUGGGAAGGGGCUCUCCAGCCAUUUGGGACAACAUAAUUCUUUCCUGGUGGAUCCAGCGGACCGAAGAAAAAGGUGGAAUUUAGCGUCCUGAGGAGGUGAGAGAAGUGCAAGUCACUUUGGCGACGCUCCCGCCUACUCUUCCGCUGUUCCAACAACUGCCCAGAGGCGCCAGCCUCCCGGCCUCAAAGGAACUGCAUCCAAGGCAGGACGUUUCCAAACGUCACCCCCCAACUGCAGAGGCGCAUGCCUUUACGCCUCUCUCUGGAGACUAUUUGGCUUUCCACUCUCCUUUAAAAUGGCCACCCUUUGGAAGGGCCCACCGUGCUGCAAGGCUUCCCGGUCCUGCCAAAGUCUGGAAACUGAGAGGAGAGAAGAGGAUCCCAGGCGAGUUAGAGACAGGAGGCUUCCAGCAGCGGGAAGACCCCAGUCCUAGGCAGGGGACCCCAAGGGGAUUCACGUCCGCCCCAGCCUUUGGAGCGGCCCUUGCAGAGGCUGAACUGAUGCCGCGGGGCAGAGAGGCGACGGCGGGAAGAGGGGCAUUCUCAAUGGGGCGGGCCUCCGAGGGUCAGAGUCGGGGCUACCCACUGGAGGGCGGGGCGGAGAAAGAAGAGGGUGAACCGGACGGAUUGGCUGAGGACGUCGAGGGAGCAGAGGAGAGGCUCGGCGCGGGAGCGGGAGUCCCGACAAGGGGUCCCGCGCGGAGGCGGG